ensembl:snRNA U6 U6 spliceosomal RNA
AUGCUUGCUUGGGCAGCCUGUAUGCUAAAAUUGGAACAACACAGAGCAGAUUAGCAUGGCAACUGUGCAAGAAUGAUGUAGAGUUUGGUGGCCAAUAAAAGUUGG